GGGAGAUGCUGAGGGUGUGUCUGCAGGGAGGACUUCUCAAGCUCCAGGGCUGGAUGCUUGGCCCCAACCCAGCUCCCAUGACAGGGGUCCUCCAAAAGGAAAGACCCAAGAUACUGCAGCCAAAAAGUCUCAUGACUCAGAUGAAUUCCUGAGACAAACACAGAAGGAAGCACCCGGAGGACAAGUGAUGGACCAAAAGGCUGUUCAGGAGGAGGAACACUCAGGGAGAAGCAGUGGCUCAUUGGCAGCCCCUGCUGCGGGAAGGAAGGCGAUGCCAGACACGGGCACAGGCACAGCAGAUGCAGCUGGCACCACAAGACCUGUUACCGAUGCCCAGGAUGGCCUCGGAAGGGGUUUCUGUCAGGGAACAGUCUGCUGGCUAGGGUUACUGGGAGGCGUGCUUUCUUUGGAGCUUGUCUUCAUGUUGGGCUGCUUUGGAAUCGGGUAUUCCUGGAAGAGAAAACAGAGCACCUCGGGACAGGAGUUGGAAGACAGUGGCUGCACCUCACACCCAGACAGCGUGAGCAGCUCCUCCAGCAGCAGGAACAGCCUGGACAGCCCUCUCAAGUGUUCUGUGAAGAGGACCCCAGAACAACCGUCUACGACGAAGCCACCUCUUACACUGUAGAUCCCACUGUGACCUGCUCUCUCCAUGGGCCUCCCCAAGCUGCCUUCAUUCCUUUUUUUCUCUCCGUCUGUCCCAUCCCAGCCAACCCGAGUUCCUCCAGGGACCCCAGGACCAGCCCAGCACAUUCCAGCACCUCCUGAGACCAACACAUCCCUUCCCCUGCCCCUGAGCCCCCUGGCCUUGCCCU